AGAGAAACUGGACCGGCCCUGCACAUUUGCGAGGGUUUCAAGAUGGGAAAUGUUUGUAAGCGGCGGACCGGCCGAAGCUUGGGCCGGUCGCGCGUGCGUCGUCGGAUGAGUUAGAAUCCAUCGCCCCUGCUUGUUCCAUGUAGCACUGGCCCACUCACCGCUUCGCAGCUACCUUAUCUCUUCGCGCACCUGCCCUUGACGCAUCUCAUUUCAUCUCUUUCUCUCGCAUCUUCCUCUUCUAUCCAGAUCUUCCUCGCGCACCUCCGCCCAGGUCAAUGCCCUCAGCCUCGCGCCCGUGCAACCUGCCGUUGCCCCGUCUGUACCUUGGAGCUUGACCCCAUUGACUCAGGCAGCGCGCUGGACGGCUGCACCCUGGACCCUGGUUGCACUCUUGACUUCGGUGGCAGGGAGGUUCCGCCGGCUGUUCUGUCCAAUCCGUCGCCUGGUGCUGGGACCGGGCGACGGGAUCUGCAGACUUGGUUUGGUGGAGAUGCAACCGUGGCGACGAGGAGCUGCAACCGGCCGUGGAUUAGAGCUGCAUCCGAUGGCGCUGCCUGGUGCUCGGACUGGCAACUAUGCUGUGCCGGGACGGUGGCCACAAGAUUUGGAGGCGACAAGUGUUACAACCAACACCCACCGGUGCUGGAGACAACGACGACAAGUGCUAGAGAGCCGCAGCGACCGGCGUUCAGGAUCGCUUGAAACCACGACGACAAGUGCUGGGAGAUCCGGCGAGGUGGCAAAGCGUUGGGGUUGAGAUUCUACGGCGAGCGACGGGAGCCAGGGCGGCGAGGGUGGCGACGAACGAGCGCGUGGGUGGCGCUUUGAGGCUGGUCAUGUGCUCGUCCAUGAAGAGUGCGAGGAGGAAGAACAAGUGCGGGGUGGAAGAAAGAAGAUCAUGUGGUUACGAAGCGUUUUAUCGUGUGGUCCUGGUGCGACCGGCCCAAAGUUGGGCCGGCGCGCCGGCGCCUAUCAGCCGCCUUUCAAGAUUUAGUUAGGCCUCUUCCAAUACUUCAUCUUGUACGGAUGCUAAAUCUUUCAUGUAGAUAAAAAAUCUGAUGUA